rnacentral:rRNA from 1 species
CACGUAGGCACCAAGCGUUGUCCGGAAUUAUUGGGCGUAAAGAGCUCGUAGGCGGCUUGUCGCGUCGACUGUGAAAUCCCGCGGCUCAACCGCGGGUCUGCAGUCGAUACGGGCAGACUAGAGUGCGGUAGGGGAGAUUGGAAUUCCUGGUGUAGCGGUGGAAUGCGCAGAUAUCAGGAGGAACACCGAUGGCGAAGGCAGAUCUCUGGGCCGUAACUGACGCUGAGGAGCGAAAGCAUGGGGAGCGAACAGG